rnacentral:misc_RNA from 1 species
UCAAAAUUCAACAACAUAAGCCUGGAAUCAAAACCACUCAUAACAAGAUCCAUAACAAUUGAGCUAAAUUGAGCCAGAAAAUUCCAAGUUCUCACUCUUUAGAAGGAAGCAGCGGCGGUGGCCUUCUUCCUGGGAGCUGCUUCAGUGCCUUCACGGAAGUUGCUCUUGAAGCGGCGGGGGACAUGGCGGAGGUAGCGCAUCCUGCCAGUGCCAGUCGUCAAGGCGAUCCGCCGGAAGACGACUGGCACUGGCAGGAUGCG